rnacentral:rRNA from 1 species
GCUUACGGCCACACCGCCUUUGGUUCACGCCCGAUCCGUUUGACUCGGAAGCUAAGAUAGGUUGGGCCUGGUUAGUACUUGGAUGGGAGACCGCCUGGGAAUACCAGGUGCGUAAGCU